GUAGGUGGCAAGCGUUAUCCGGAAUUAUUGGGCGUAAAGCGCGCGCAGGCGGUUUCUUAAGUCUGAUGUGAAAGCCCACGGCUCAACCGUGGAGGGUCAUUGGAAACUGGGGAACUUGAGUGCAGAAGAGAAAAGCGGAAUUCCACGUGUAGCGGUGAAAUGCGUAGAGAUGUGGAGGAACACCAGUGGCGAAGGCGGCUUUUUGGUCUGUAACUGACGCUGAGGCGCGAAAGCGUGGGGAGCAAACAGGGAUUAGAUACCCUGGUAGUCCACGCCGUAAACGAUGAGUGCUAAGUGUUAGAGGGUUUCCGCCCCUUUAGUGCUGCAGCUAACGCAUUAAGCACUCCGCCUGGGGAUACGGUCGCAAGACUG
rnacentral:rRNA from 1 species